GAUCAACUCCGGUUGAUCCUGCCGGCGGCCACCGCUAUUGGAAUGCGAUUAAGACAUGCGAGUCGAGAGUCUUCGGGACUCGGCGGACGGCUCAGUAACACGCGGAUAAUCUGCCCUCGGGUGGAGGAUAACCCCGGGAAACUGGGAACAAUACUCCAUAGGUCUGGGAUGCUGGAAUGCUUCCAGGUCAAAAGCUCCGGCGCCCGAGGAUGAGUCUGCGGCCUAUCAGUUUGUAGUGGGUUUUACAUACCCACUAGGCUACGACGGGUACGGGCAUUGAGAGAUGUUGCCCGGAGAUGGACUCUGAGACACGAGUCCAGGCCCCACGGGGCGCAGCAGUCGCGAAAACUUCACAAUGUCGGAAACGGCGAUGAGGGUAUUCCAAGUGUUUGCGUACUACGUAAGCUGUUCAAUUUCCUAAAAAGCAGUUGAAGUAAGGGCUGGGUAAGACGGGUGCCAGCCGCCGCGGUAAUACCCGCAGCCCGAGUGGUGGUCGAUAUUAUUGAGCCUAAAGCGUCCGCAGCCGGUCUGGUAAAUCCUUGGGUAAAUCGGGCAGCUUAACUGUCCGAAUUCCGGGGAGACUGCCAGACUUGGGACCGGGAGAGGUUGGAGGUACUCCUGGGGUAGGGGUAAAAUCCCGUAAUCCUGGGAGGACCAUCAGUGGCGAAGGCGUCCAACUGGAACGGAUCCGACGGUCAGGGACGAAGCCCUGGGUCGCGAACUGGAUUAGAUACCCAGGUAGUCCAGGGUGUAAACGCUGCAGACUUGGUGUCGGAGGUCCUACGAGGGCGUCCGGUGCCGGAGAGAAAUUGUUAAGUCUGCCGCUUGGGGAGUACGUCCGCAAGGAUGAAACUUAAAGGAAUUGGCGGGAGAGCACCGCAACGGGAGGAGCGUGCGGUUCAAUUGGAUUCAACGCCGGAAAACUCACCGGGGGCGACGGUUACAUGAAGGCCAAGCUGAUGACUUUGCCUGAUUUUCCGAGAGGUGGUGCAUGGCCGUCGUCAGUUCGUACCGUAAGGCGUUCUGUUAAGUCAGAUAACGAACGAGACCCUCAUCCUUAAUUGCCAGUUCAUUCUCCGGAAUGGGCGCACAUUAAGGGGACCGCUGGCGCUAAGUCAGAGGAAGGGGAGGUCAACGGUAGGUCAGUAUGCCCCGAAUCUCCCGGGCUACACGCGCGCUACAAAGGACAGGACAAUGGGCUGCGACACCGAGAGGUGAAGCCAAUCCCGAAACCUGUUCGUAGUUCGGACUGAGGGCUGUAACUCGCCCUCACGAAGCUGGAUUCCGUAGUAAUCGCGGGUCAACAUCCCGCGGUGAAUAUGCCCCUGCUCCUUGCACACACCGCCCGUCAAACCACCCGAGUUGGGUCCAAAUGAGGUUCUGCCCUUGUGGUAGGCUCGAAUUUGGGUUCAGCAAGGAGGGUUAAGUCGUAACAAGGUAUCUGUAGGGGAACCUGCAGAUGGAUCACCUCCUA
rnacentral:rRNA from 1 species